rnacentral:rRNA from 1 species
GACGAACGCUGGCGGCGUGCUUAACACAUGCAAGUCGAACGGACCGAGUUGAUAGCUUGCUAUUGAUGAGGUUAGUGGCAAACGGGUGAGUAACGCGUAGGCAACCUGCCCUUCAGAUGGGGACAACACCUCGAAAGGGGUGCUAAUACCGAAUGACGUUUCCUGGUCGCAUGACCUGGAAACCAAAGGCCGGGCAACCGGUCACUGAAGGAUGGGCCUGCGUCUGAUUAGCUAGUUGGUGGGGUAACGGCCCACCAAGGCGACGAUCAGUAGCCGGUCUGAGAGGAUGAACGGCCACAUUGGGACUGAGACACGGCCCAAACUCCUACGGGAGGCAGCAGUGGGGGAUAUUGGUCAAUGGGGGAAACCCUGAACCAGCGACGCCGCGUGAGGGAAGAAGGUUAUUUGAUUGUAAACCUCUGUCGUCAGGGAAGAAAAUGACGGUACCUGACAAGGAAGCACCGGCUAACUACGUG